GACGAACGCUGGCGGCGUGCUUAACACAUGCAAGUCGAACGGAAAGGCCCUGCUUUUGUGGGGUGCUCGAGUGGCGAACGGGUGAGUAACACGUGAGUAACCUGCCCUUGACUUUGGGAUAACUUCAGGAAACUGGGGCUAAUACCGGAUAGGAGCUCCUGCUGCAUGGUGGGGGUUGGAAAGUUUCGGCGGUUGGGGAUGGACUCGCGGCUUAUCAGCUUGUUGGUGGGGUAGUGGCUUACCAAGGCUUUGACGGGUAGCCGGCCUGAGAGGGUGACCGGCCACAUUGGGACUGAGAUACGGCCCAGACUCCUACGGGAGGCAGCAGUGGGGAAUAUUGCACAAUGGGCGGAAGCCUGAUGCAGCAACGCCGCGUGCGGGAUGACGGCCUUCGGGUUGUAAACCGCUUUCGCCUGUGACGAAGCGUGAGUGACGGUAAUGGGUAAAGAAGCACCGGCUAACUACGUGCCAGCAGCCGCGGUGAUACGUAGGGUGCGAGCGUUGUCCGGAUUUAUUGGGCGUAAAGGGCUCGUAGGUGGUUGAUCGCGUCGGAAGUGUAAUCUUGGGGCUUAACCCUGAGCGUGCUUUCGAUACGGGUUGACUUGAGGAAGGUAGGGGAGAAUGGAAUUCCUGGUGGAGCGGUGGAAUGCGCAGAUAUCAGGAGGAACACCAGUGGCGAAGGCGGUUCUCUGAGCCUUUCCUGACGCUGAGGAGCGAAAGCGUGGGGAGCGAACAGGCUUAGAUACCCUGGUAGUCCACGCUGUAAACGGUGGGUACUAGGUGUGGGGUCCAUUCCACGGGUUCCGUGCCGUAGCUAACGCUUUAAGUACCCCGCCUGGGGAGUACGGCCGCAAGGCUAAAACUCAAAGGAAUUGACGGGGCCCCGCACAAGCGGCGGAGCAUGCGGAUUAAUUCGAUGCAACGCGUAGAACCUUACCUGGGUUUGACAUGGAUCGGGAGUGCUCAGAGAUGGGUGUGCCUCUUUUGGGGUCGGUUCACAGGUGGUGCAUGGCUGUCGUCAGCUCGUGUCGUGAGAUGUUGGGUUAAGUCCCGCAACGAGCGCAACCCUUGUUCACUGUUGCCAGCACGUUAUGGUGGGGACUCAGUGGAGACCGCCGGGGUCAACUCGGAGGAAGGUGGGGAUGACGUCAAGUCAUCAUGCCCCUUAUGUCCAGGGCUUCACGCAUGCUACAAUGGCUGGUACAGAGAGUGGCGAGCCUGUGAGGGUGAGCGAAUCUCGGAAAGCCGGUCUCAGUUCGGAUUGGGGUCUGCAACUCGACCUCAUGAAGUCAGAGUCGCUAGUAAUCGCAGAUCAGCAACGCUGCGGUGAAUAAGUUCCCGGGGCU
rnacentral:rRNA from 1 species